rnacentral:rRNA from 1 species
UACGUAGGGGGCUAGCGUUGUCCGGAAUUACUGGGCGUAAAGAGCUCGUAGGUGAUUUGUCGCGUUGUUCGUGAAAACUCACAACUCAAUUGUGGGCGUGCGGGCGAUACGGGCAGACUGGAGUACUGCAGGGGAGACUGGAAUUCCUGGUGUAGCGGUGGAAUGCGCAGAUAUCAGGAGGAACACCGGUGGCGAAGGCGGGUCUCUGGCCCGAUACUGACGCUGAGGCACGAAAGCGUGGGGAGCAAACAGG